UUGAAGUCGAGAAUGAAAGGAAAAAUUAAAAUAAACUGUCUUAAAAGUUUUUUUUAAAAAUUACUAAUAUGGUGAAAAUUCCAUAAUAAAUUUAAUAGACGAAGACCCUAUGAAUUAUAAUUAAAAAUUUUAUUAAAAAAUUUUAAAUUUUUGUUGGGGCAACAAGAAUUAAAAAAAUAAAAAAAUUUUAUAAUUAAAUUUUACAUUGGAAAUUAUACUAUAAAUGAAUUUAAUU
rnacentral:rRNA from 1 species